rnacentral:rRNA from 1 species
AAAACAUCUUUUCUUGUUAUUUAUUUGAGAUUUAACCUGCCCAAUGAAUUUUUAAUGGCCGCAGUAUUUUGACUGUGCAAAGGUAGCAUAAUCAUUAGUCUAUUAAUUGUGGACUUGUAUGAAUGGUUGGACGAAAUAUUUACUGUCUCAUAUUUAAUUUUAGAAUUUAAAUUUUGAGUUAAAAUGCUUAAAUUUUAUUAUAGGACGAGAAGACCCUAUAGAUCUUUAUUUUAAUAUUUAUUUAUUUUAUUUUGUUUUUUUAUAUAUAAUAUUUAUUAUUGUUUUGUUGGGGUGACAUAAAGAUAUAAUUAACUCUUUAUUUUAUUAUUCAAAAAUUUUUGUUUAUUUGACCUUUUAUUAAUGUUAUAAGAUAUAGAUACCUUAGGGAUAACAGCGUAAUUUUUUUUGAGAGUUCAUAUCGACAAUUAAGAUUGCGACCUCGAUGUUGGAUUAAGAAUUAUUUUAGGUGUAGGUGCUUAAAUUAUUAAGUCUGUUCGACUUUUAAAUUCUUACA